ensembl:lncRNA
UACAGCAGCAGCAACGGGAGUAACCGUAGCGGAGGACCGUAGCAGCGGUAAUAAAGCCUCGUUUAACCGGGGAGAAGGACCGUAGCAACGGUAAUAAAGCCUCGUUUAACCGGGGAGAAGGACCAUAGCGGCGGGAAUAAAGCCUCGUUUAACCGGGGAGAAGGACCGGAUAGAAGGACCGUAGGACCCGGUUUUCAUUGAAUAUCACGGUGUGUGUGAACGGGCUGACUGAAUUAGUAGCAUUAGGAAAGUUCAUCCUUUACACCUGAACUUCCGCCCGGAGACAGGCUGUCAAUCAUUCCAAUGGUCAUCUUAUCUCACAAGGUCCAUCAUCUUUCUAAAGUCCUGACCCAGGACCAGGUCUCCACUGGUCCAUCUCCAGUCCUUGCUUUGGAGAGGCAGCAGUGGCUGUGGUCUGACGCUGAGAUUGUGCUUGGAGAGCUGAUCUGAUACUUUUGUGUGAC